GUAUUGUAUUGCGUUAAACGCGGCGUACAUUCCACAAGACUUCUUUAACGUGUGUGUGUAAAGACAUAGAACCACGGAAGGGAAGCAGGGCCUCCAGACCACAGAACUACAAAAGGUGCACAGGGGUGGGUGGAUGUGUAAACAGAGCGUGCACAUGCCCCCGUUUGAAGGCCAGCAACAACCCGUGUCAACAAUUCGGUAAUGAUCCUUCCGCAGGUUCACCUACGGAAA
rnacentral:misc_RNA from 1 species